rnacentral:rRNA from 1 species
AUACGUAGGGUGCAAGCGUUAAUCGGAAUUACUGGGCGUAAAGCGUGCGCAGGCGGUUUUGUAAGACAGAGGUGAAAUCCCCGGGGCCAACCUGGGAACUGCCUUUGGGACUGCAAAGCUAGAGCACGGCAGAGGGGGAUGGAAUUUCGCUUGUCGCAGUGAAAUGCGUAGAUAUGCGGAGGAACGCCGAUGGUGAAGGCAAUCCCCUGGGCCUGUACUGACGCUCAUGCACGAAAGCGUGGGGAGCAAACAGGAUUAGAUACCCUGGUAGUCCACGCCCUAAACGAUGUCAACUGGUUGUUGGGUCUUCAUUGACUCAGUAACGAAGCUAACGCGUGAAGUUGACCGCCUGGGGAGUACGGCCGCAAGGUUGAAACUCAAAUGAAUUGACGGG